rnacentral:rRNA from 1 species
AGCGAACGCUGGCGGCAGGCCUAACACAUGCAAGUCGAACGGAACCUUCGGGAUUAGUGGCGGACGGGUGAGUAACACGUGGGAACGUGCCCUUUGGUUCGGAACAACUCAGGGAAACUUGAGCUAAUACCGGAUGUGCUCUUCGGGGGAAAGAUUUACCGCCAGGGGAUCGGCCCGCGUCUGAUUCGCUUGUUGGUGAGGUAACGGCGUACCAAGGCGUCGACGGGUAGCUGGUCUGUGAGGAUGACCGGCCAAACUGGGACUGAGACACGGCCCAGACUCCUACGGGAGGCAGCAGUGGGGAAUAUUGCACAAUGGGCGGAAGCCGGAUGCAGCAACGCCGCGUGCGGGAUGACGGCCUUCGGGUUGUAAACCGCUUUCGCCUGUGACGAAGCGUGAGUGACGGUAAUGGGUAAAGAAGCACCGGCUAACUACGUG